rnacentral:rRNA from 1 species
UACGAAGGGGGCGAGCGUUGUUCGGAAUUACUGGGCGUAAAGGGCGCGCAGGCGGCUCUGAAAGUCAGAUGUGAAAGCCCAGGGCUUAACCCUGGAAUUGCCUUUAAGACUGCAUCGCUAGAAUCGUGGAGAGGUGAGUGGAAUUCCGAGUGUAGAGGUGAAAUUCGUAGAUAUUCGGAAGAACACCAGUGGCGAAGGCGACUCACUGGACACGUAUUGACGCUGAGGUGCGAAAGCGUGGGGAGCAAACAGG